UACGUAGGGUGCAAGCGUUGUCCGGAAUUAUUGGGCGUAAAGAGCUCGUAGGCGGUCUGUCACGUCGGCUGUGAAAACCCGAGGCUCAACCUCGGGCCUGCAGUCGAUACGGGCAAACUAGAGUACUGCAGGGGAGACUGGAAUUCCUGGUGUAGCGGUGAAAUGCGCAGAUAUCAGGAGGAACACCGGUGGCGAAGGCGGGGUCUCUGGGGCAGUAACUGACG
rnacentral:rRNA from 1 species